GACGAACGCUGGCGGCGUGCUUAACACAUGCAAGUCGAACGGAAAGGCCCUGCGCUUGUGGGGUGCACGAUAGGCGAACGGGGGAGUAUAACGUGUGUAACACGCACCUGUCUUUCGGAUAACAUCAGGAGAAUCGGGCUAAUACCGGGUAGGAGCUCCUGCUGCAUGGUGGGGGUUGGUGAGUUUCGGCGGUUGGGGAUGUACUCGCGGCUUAUGAGCUUGAUGGUGGGGUUGUGGCUUAACAAGGCUUUGACGGGUAGCCGGCCUGGGAGGGUGACCGGCCACAUUGGCCCUGGGGUGCGACCCGUACUGCUUCGGGCGGCAGCGGCGGAAGCUAUUGCGCGAUGCGCGGCGGCAUGAUGCAGCGACGCCGCGUGCGAGAUGACGGCCUUCGGGUUGUAAACCGCUUUCGAGGUGCCGAAGCGUUAGUGACGGUAAUUGGUAAGGAAGCACCGGCUAACUACGUG
rnacentral:rRNA from 1 species